rfam:Chitinivibrio alkaliphilus ACht1 contig00046, whole genome shotgun sequence.
UAUAAAGUUACUAAGAGUAUACGGUGGAUGCCUUGGCACAAACUGCCGAAGAAGGACGUGAUAAGCUGCGAAAAGCUGCGGUGAGGUGCACAUAACCUUCGACCCGCAGAUAUCCGAAUGGGGCAACCUUAUAAGCGCGUAAGCGUGGGUAAGGGGCUGAACUGAAACAUCUAAGUAAGCCCAGGAAAAGAGAACAACCGUGAUUCCCCCAGUAGUGGUGAGCGACCGGGGAGAAGCCUAAACCAUAUAGCUGCCAAGCCUGUAAGCGUUGGUUAUAUGGGGUUGUGGGAUCUUCUGUACAGUAGUUACAGCUGCUGUGUGAAGUUACAAAGGAAAUAAUUAGUCGAAGCGUACUGGAAAGUACCGCCAUAGUAGGUGAUAGCCCUGUAGGCGAAAAUUAUUUCUCUUCAUAUGAGGACACCCGAGUAUCACCGAACACGUGGAAUUUGGUGUGAAUCGACCGGGACCAUCCGGUAAGGCUAAAUACAGUUUGUGACCGAUAGUGCAUAGUACCGUGAGGGAAAGGUGAAAAGAACCCCGGGAGGGGAGUGAAAUAGAAUCUGAAACCGUAUACUUACAAACGGUCGGAGCAUGAUUAAUCAUGUGACGGCGUACCUUUUGUUUAAUGGCCCGACGAGUUGUCGUAUCUAGCGAGGUUAAGGGCUUCAGGCCUGUAGCCGCAGCGAAAGCGAGUGUUAAUAGCGCGAUAUAGUUAGGUAUGGCAGACGCGAAUGCGGAUGAUCUAUCCAUGGGCAGGUUGAAGCUUGAGUAAGAUCAAGUGGAGGACCGAACCGAAAUAGGCUGAAAACUGUUCGGAUGACCUGUGGAUAGGGGUGAAAGGCCAAUCAAAUCCGCUGAUAGCUCGUUCUCUCCGAAAUAUAUUUAGGUAUAGCCUGGGAUGAGAUUUUAACGGGGGUAGAGCACUGACAAGGCUAGGGGGUCUACCAACCUGCCAAACCUUUUCAAACUCCGAAUACCGUUAAAAGCGUCCUGGAGUCAGGUUACGGGAGAUAAGUUCCGUAUCCGAGAGGGAAACAACCCAGACCAUCAGCUAAGGUCCCCAAGUGUAUGCUCAGUGAUAAAGGAGGUGUUACUGCCGUGACAGCUAGGAGGUUGGCUUAGAAGCAGCCAUCCUUUAAAGAAAGCGUAAUAGCUCACUGGUUAAGCGGUAAUGCGCCGAAAAUUUCCGGGACUCAAGUAUACCACCGAAGCUAUGGAACAGUGUUUAUCACUGUUGGUAGGAGAGCGUUCUGUAAGCCGUUGAAGGUGUUUCGUAAGGAAUGCUGGAGGUAUCAGAAAUGAGAAUGUCGGGAUGAGUAGCGAUAAUGGAGGUGAGAGACCUCCACACCGAAAGCCCAAGGAUUCCUAAGUAAAGCUAAUCUGCUUAGGGUAAGUCGGGACCUAAGGCGAGGCCGGCAAGGCGUAGUCGAUGGAAAACAGGUUAAUAUUCCUGUACCUGAGUUAGUGUUGAUGUGGUGACGCAGGAAGUAAAGUGCAUCCAACUGGUGACAUGUUGGACCAAGCAGUAAGCUUCGAGGGGUAGGUAAAUCCGCCCUUCUUAACGGUGAGCUGUGAUGGGUAAUGGCGGAGCAAUCCAAAAUAAGUGCAUGGAGUUAUACUGCCAGGAAAAGCCGCUAGCAUAGCUAACCAGCCCGUACCGUAAACCGACACAGGUAGGUGGGAUGAGUAUUCUAAGGUGCUCGAGAGAACUCUGGUUAAGGAACUCGGCAAAUUGACCCCGUAAGUUCGCGAGAAGGGGAGCCCGAAAGGGCCGCAGUGACAAGGUUCAAGCGACUGUUUAUCAAAAACACAGGACUAUGCAAACAGGAAACUGGAAGUAUAUGGUCUGACACGUGCCCGGUGCUGGAAGGUUAAUUGAUGGGGUUAGGAUUCGUCCGAAGCUCUUGAUCGAAGCCCCAGUAAACGGCGGCCGUAACUAUAACGGUCCUAAGGUAGCGAAAUUCCUUGUCGGGUAAGUUCCGACCUGCACGAAUCGUGUAACGACUUGAACACUGUCUCAACCAGAGACUCGGCGAAAUUGUAGUGCCGGUGAAGAUGCCGGCAACCCGCAGCUGGACGGAAAGACCCCGUGAACCUUUACUGUAACUUGGCAUUGUGAUUUGGCGUAUCAUGUGCAGGAUAGGUGGGAGACUAUGAAGUAUACACGCCAGUGUAUAUGGAGUCGUCCUUGACAUACCACCCUUGGUACGUUGGAUCACUAACUUAGUAAACGACCUUUGCAAGGACAUUGUCAGGGGGUCAGUUUGACUGGGGCGGUCGCCUCCUAAAAAGUAACGGAGGCUCUCAAAGGUUCCCUCAGUAUGGUUGGUAAUCAUACAUUGAGUGUAAAGGCAAAAGGGAGCUUAACUGCGAGACAAACACGUCGAGCAGAUGCGAAAGCAGGACUUAGUGAUCCGGCGGUUGGAAAUGGAACUGCCGUCGCUCAAAGGAUAAAAGGUACUCCGGGGAUAACAGGCUAAUCACUCUCAAGAGUUCAUAUCGACGGAGUGGUUUGGCACCUCGAUGUCGGCUCGUCGCAUCCUGGGGCUGAAGCAGGUCCCAAGGGUUUGGCUGUUCGCCAAUUAAAGCGGCACGCGAGCUGGGUUCAGAACGUCGUGAGACAGUUCGGUCCCUAUCCGCUGUGGGCGCAGGAUAUUUGAGAGGACCUGUCCUUAGUACGAGAGGACCGGGAUGGACAUACCUCUGGUGCAUCGGUUGUCACGUCAGUGGCAUUGCCGAGUAGCUACGUAUGGAAGAGAUAACCGCUGAAAGCAUCUAAGCGGGAAGCUCGCCUCAAGAUAAGAUAUCCCUUAAGGAACGUUGAAGACCACGACGUUGAUAGGUCACAGGUGUACGCACGGUAACGUGUUCAGCCGAGUGAUACUAAUAUUCCUUUUGACUUUUGUAUC